UUGGUCAUUUAGAGGAAGUAAAAGUCGUAACAAGGUCUCCGUUGGUGAACCAGCGGAGGGAUCAUUACAGAGUUAUCUAACUCCCAAACCCAUGUGAACUUACCUUUGUUGCCUCGGCAGUAGUUGCUGGGCGAGCCUACCCGGGAACGAGCUACCCUGUAGCGAGUUACCCUGGAACGACUUACCCUGUAACGCCUGCCGGUGGACUACUAAACUCUUGUUAUUUUUAAGUAAUCUGAGCGUCUUAUUUUAAUAAGUCAAAACUUUCAACAACGGAUCUCUUGGUUCUGGCAUCGAUGAAGAACGCAGCGAAAUGCGAUAAGUAAUGUGAAUUGCAGAAUUCAGUGAAUCAUCGAAUCUUUGAACGCACAUUGCGCCCAUUAGUAUUCUAGUGGGCAUGCCUGUUCGAGCGUCAUUUCAACCCUUAAGCCUAGCUUAGUAUUGGGAAUCGACUUUACUGUCGUUCCUCAAAUUCAACGGCGGAUUUAUAGCAAUCUCUGAACGUAGUAAUUUUUUUUCUCGUUUUUGAAAUACUAUAAACCUCAGCCGCUAAACCCCCAAUUUCUUAUGGUUGACCUCGGAUCAGGUAGGAAUACCCGCUGAACUUAAGCAUAUCAAUAAG
rnacentral:rRNA from 1 species